GGAGACUGGUACCAAGAUGAGACAAACUCAGAAUACCGAUGAAUGGUAGCACUAGUGAGACGGUGGGGGAUAAGCUUCAUCGUCAAGAGGGAAACAGCCCAGACCAUCAGCUAAGGUCCCCAAGUACUAACUAAGUGAGAAAGGAGGUGGGAGUGCUUAGACAACCAGGAGGUUUGCCUAGAAGCAGCAAUCCUUGAAAGAGUGCGUAAUAGCUCACUGGUCAAGCGCUCCUGCGCCGAAAAUGAACGGGGCUAAGUUAGUCACCGAAGCUAUGGACUACAUUGUAGUGGUAGGGGAGCGUUCUAUUAAGGGUGAAGCAUUAGCGGCAAGCAGAUGUGGACGAGAUAGAAGUGAGAAUGUCGGCUUAAGUAGCGAAAAUUAGGGUGAGAAUCCCUAACCCCGAAAGCCCAAGGGUUUCUCCAGAAGGUUCGUCCGUGGAGAGUUAGCCCGGACCUAAGGCGAAGCGAAAAGCGUAGUCGAUGGCAAGCAGGUAAAUAUUCCUGCGUGGCUUAAUUGGAGUUGCUACAGGGACCCGUGAAAACUAAGCACACCCUGAGUGGAUUGGGAGCGAGUAAUCGUGAGUGUGGAAAGAUAGCGGCAAGAAAAGCUGUAGUAAUGUUGAGAAUUAAGUCCCGGUACCCGAAACCGACACAGGUGGGCACGUAGAGAAUACGAAGGGGAGCGAGGUAACUCUCUCCAAGGAACUCGGCAAAA
rnacentral:rRNA from 1 species